UGUAGUACUGGACGUACUUUUGAUCACUUGAUUGGUGAUAAUAGAGGCAGGUUGCCGAAUAUUUUUUAUAGUAUUGGACGUACUUUUGAUCACCUGGUUGGUGAUAAUAGAGGCAGGCUGCCGAAUAAUUUUGGAGUACUGGACAUACUUUUAAUCACCUGGUUGGUGAUAAUAGUGGCAUGUUGCCGAAUAAUUUUGGAGUAUUGGGCGUACUUUUGAUCACCUGGUUGGUAAUAGAGGCAGGUUGCCAAAUAAUUUUUGUAGUAUUGAAAGUAAUUUUAAUCACCUGGUUGGUGAUAAUAGAGGCAGGUUGCUGAAUAAUUUUUGUAGUACUGGACGUACUUUUGAUCA
rnacentral:lncRNA from 1 species